ensembl:lncRNA
ACACAGUUCACGCAUUAUUUCACACAUUAUUCCAUUGUCAUAUGUGGGUAUUGUUUGUUAAAAAUGAACAUUUUAAUAAUGCUGUUAUAUAAUAUUGAUAAACAUAGUUUACUGUUUUGUCAUCUGUGUAUCUAUAUGGUUAAGUGUAGGCCAGACCUUCCCUGUUUGCCGUUUGACAGUGGUGAAUAGAAUAGGACUGAACUAAAAAAAAAUAACAUCCACUCCUCUGUCAUAGCACUCCUGAAACUGAACAAACAUGCACUUUCAAUCAACACAAACGCUUCAAUUUAAAAUACAUUCCAUUUUAAUGAAAGAAUGAAACUGUCUCCCGGACUCUAGAUCCAUAUGGAGUUUCAGGCGGUCAUCUGGUUCAGUGUCAGUCGUUCCUAGUUUCCGUUAGUGAUUAUUGAAGCUACAGGCUUGGAGUGGAUUCAAGGGCUUUUUGUGCAGUCUUAUUUAAGAUGCAGGUAGCUACCUUCAGCAGCCAUCCAAGGUGAUCUCAACAAGUGGUUCUGCAUGGUUUCUUAAUCGAUACUGACUUCCACUAAUCCUCCUAAAAACACAAAUGAUCUGCUUUCAGGAAAUUAGAGACACCUCAAUCAGCUUUUAUUGACAUGAAUCACUGUGUUGAACCGUGGUCUGGUCUGUGGAAAUCUUUAGCUUAAAUAUAUAAAUAUAUAUUUUUUCUGUAUGAACAAGUUCAUUGUUUAAGUAAAGUGCCAUCUAAAAGUAUUCACACCCCUUCACUUUCUCCACAUUUAGAUGUGUUACAAACUUAAUAAAGAAUUGGUUAAAUAUUUAUUUUGCCAUCACAAUAACACAUGAGGAUAAAGUGCUGAAAAGCAUCCCCAUAGCAGGAUACACCUACACCAUGCUUCACUGUAGCGGUGGUAUAAGCCAGGUCAUGAGCGGUGUCAAACUAUUUGGAAGAUGGUUGUCCUUCUGGCAGGUUCUCCCAUCUCUGCAGAGAAACGCUGAAGCUCUGUUAGGGUGGCCAUUGGGUUCUUGGUCACCUCCCUGCUUGGUUACUUAUUUUGGCCAGCUCUAAGUAGUUGGUUCCAAACCUCUUCAAUCGUGCCAUCUGUGCUCCUCCGAUCUAUGAAUGCUUUAGCAUUUUUCUUAUAGCCUUACCUAGAUCUAUGCCUCGGCACAGUUCUACAGGUCUAGAGAGUUCCUUGGAGUUCAUGGCUUAGUGGUUGCUCCAACAUGCAUUGUGAUCUGUGGGACCUUGUAUAGACUGGUGUUGGUCUUUCUAAAUCAUGUCCAGUCCAUUUGACACAGAUGGUCAAUCAAAGAUGGUCAAUCAAAGAUGGCCAAUAAAAGUCCCAACAUUUCUCAGUGUCAUGGCAAAGCGUCUAAAUCCUUAUGUACAUGAUAUAUAUAUGUAUAUAUCGAGAGAGAAAGAGAGAUUUUUAUAGGCACAUUUCUGAAAGGUAAAGGGGUCUGAAUACGUUCUGAUGGCACUGAACAUCAACUUAUUUUAUAAAAAAAAUGUACGAUUAUUUGUAAGAUUGUGUUUAUGUUCUAAAUUAUGUUUGUUUCAAUUAGUUAAAAUAAUUUAUUGAAUUUCUUUAUUGCUGUUAUAAAUAAAAUGCCCUAAUGCUGAAGUGUUAUUUGUCAGAGUAUGAUAGAUUGUGCUGAAACUGCAGGUAUAAAACAUCUGCGUUCUGAGACAAAUGUGCUGCGGUUUCCCUCGAGUGUUCUUACUGCACCCAACCUGCACGAACAAGACAAAAUGUCUUUAGAGGGUUUCCAAUUGAUUUUCUCUUAAGAAGCUAACAGUGUAACCACUUUGGUUUUAUUUUAUUGAAAGGAUAGUAUACUGCACUGCAACUGAAACUGUAGAUCAAAGUCACAGUAAAAUGUAUCUGCAUUGCCUCACACUUCUUUUAGGGAUGUUUGGCCACCAAUUUGCUAAAGAGUACUCACCAAAGCCAUUCUCCUCUCCAUGCCCUAUAUAAUACUGAACAAUAUUUUGCCACAUUCUUACUGGAAACUCCUAGAAACGUUUGUAUGAACAUUAAAAUAAUUGGAUGUGGUAACAAGAAUACUGUAGCCCUACCGUCGUGAGAUAAAAUGUCUGUAAUUUAUGUAAAAAUGCAACUAGAAUUAAAGAUUUAUUUCAUUAUUUUAAUAAUGUAAAGUUCUUAUGUGUUGUUUUCAGAAUCUAAAAUGCACGGAUCAGGAAAAUGUUUAAAAGUAAAAUGACAUAGUGGUACCAUAAAGCAAGUUGAGUCCUUUUAGAUAGUUAUAGUCUACUGGGAUUGAUAUAGCUAAUACACAUACCCCAGAACACAUUUAGCCAGAAAGAUUUGGAUUUUUCUUUCAAUUCUGUCCUCGUACCCUCUUGAAUGCACAGAGGAGGAGGGUAGUCUAGUCCUAGAUAUUCCUGGGACCACUUCCAGUGGGAACUCCAUUAGGUCAUCCAAUGGGAACCACUUUAGGGGUCAUCCGGUAGGAGCCACAUUAGAAGUCAUCCAACGGG